rnacentral:rRNA from 1 species
UACGAAGGGGGCUAGCGUUGCUCGGAAUCACUGGGCGUAAAGGGUGCGUAGGCGGGUCUUUUAAGUCAGGGGUGAAAUCCUGGAGCUCAACUCCAGAACUGCCUUUGAUACUGAGGAUCUUGAGUUCGGGAGAGGUGAGUGGAACUGCGAGUGUAGAGGUGAAAUUCGUAGAUAUUCGCAAGAACACCAGUGGCGAAGGCGGCUCACUGGCCCGAUACUGACGCUGAGGCACGAAAG